rnacentral:rRNA from 1 species
AUUGAACGCUGGCGGCAGGCCUAACACAUGCAAGUCGAGCGGAGCGGCGGACGGGUGAGUAAUGCCUAGGAAUCUGCCUGGUAGUGGGGGAUAACGUCCGGAAACGGGCGCUAAUCCCACAUACUAUCAGAUGAGCCUAGGUCGGAUUAGCUAGUUGGGGGGGGAAAGGCCUCCCAAGGCGACGAGCCGUAACGGGUCUGAGAGGAUGAUCAGUCACACUGGAACUGAGACACGGUCCAGACUCCUACGGGAGCCAGCAGGGGGGAAGAUUGGACAAUGGGAGAAAGCCUGAUCCAGCCAUGCCGCGUGUGUGAAGAAGGUCUUCGGAUUGUAAAGCACUUUAAGUUGGGAGGCGUUACCAACAGAAUAAGCACCGGCUAACUUCGUGCCAGCAGCCGCGGUAAAC